rnacentral:tRNA from 2 species
GUCUCCCAGUGGGGGUGUUCGGCUCCGGCGGCGCGCAGGACGCCGAGGACGCCCGCGCGGAGCGGGCGGGUGACG